UACGUAGGGUGCGAGCGUUAUUCGGAAUUACUGGGCGUAAAGCGUGCGCAGGCGGUUUUGUAAGCCAGAUGUGAAAGCCCCGGGCUCAACCUGGGAAUGGCAUUUGGGACUGCAAGGCUUGAGUGCGGCAGAGGAGACUGGAAUUCCUGGUGUAGCAGUGAAAUGCGUAGAUAUCAGGAGGAAUACCGAUGGCGAAGGCAGGUCUCUGGGCUGACACUGACGCUCAUGCACGAAAGCGUGAGGAGCAAACAGG
rnacentral:rRNA from 1 species